UACCUGGUUGAUCCUGCCAGUAGUUAUAUGCUUGUCUCAAAGAUUAAGCCAUGCAUGUCUGAGUACAUGCCGUUCAAUUAAAAGGCGAAACCGCGAAUGGCUCAUUAAAUCAGUUAUGGUUCCUUGGAUCAUACCCAACUACUUGGAUAACCGUGGUAAUUCUAGAGCUAAUACAUGCAGCAGAGCUCCGACCAGGUACCGCGGCGGGUCAAACCGUCCGCGGCCGGGAACGAGCGCUUUUAUUAGACCAAAACCAAUGACGGUCCCUUCUCCCCCUCAAAAGGGAGGAGGCCGUGCAAAGAAUGUGGUGACUCUGGAUAACUUUGGGCCGAUCGCACGGGCCAGUCCCGGCGACGUAUCUUUCAAGUGUCUGCCUUAUCAACUGUCGAUGGUAGUUCACAUGCCUACCAUGGUCGUAACGGGUGACGGGGAAUCAGGGUUCGAUUCCGGAGAGGGAGCCUGAGAAACGGCUACCACAUCCAAGGAAGGCAGCAGGCGCGCAAAUUACCCAAUCCCGGCCCGGGGAGGUAGUGACGAAAAAUAACGAUACGGGACUCUUUUGAGACCCCGUAAUCGGAAUGAGUACGCUCUAAAUCCUCUAACGAUGAUCAAUUGGAGGGCAAGUCUGGUGCCAGCAGCCGCGGUAACUCCAGCUCCAAUAGCGUAUACUAAAGUUGUUGCGGUUAAAAAGCUCGUAGUUGGAUCUGAGUCGCGGACGCGUCGGUCCGCCCUUACCGGGCGGUUCACUGGCCGUUCCGGACAAAUAGCCGGUUUCCCCCGAUGAUCUUCGCCGGUUGUCUGGGGAAGACCGGCAGGUUUACUUUGAAAAAAUUAGAGUGCUCAAAGCAGGCCGCAGAAGCCUGGAUAAUGGUGCAUGGAAUAAUGGAAUAGGACCUCGGUUCUAUUUUGUUGGUUUUCGGAACCCGAGGUAAUGAUUAAGAGGGACGGACGGGGGCAUUAGUAUUGCGACGCUAGAGGUGAAAUUCUUGGACCGUCGCAAGACUAACUACUGCGAAAGCAUUUGCCAAGAAUGUUUCCAUUAAUCAAGAACGAAAGUUAGAGGUUCGAAGGCGAUCAGAUACCGCCCUAGUUCUAACCAUAAACGAUGCCAGCCAGCGAUCCGGCUGCGUUCCUCAAAUGACGCGCCGGGCAGCUUCCGGGAAACCAAAAGCUUUUGGGUUCCGGGGAAAGUAUGGUUGCAAAGCUGAAAUUUAAAGGAAUUGACGGAAGCGCACCACAAGCAUUGGAGUAUGCGGCUUAAUUUGACUCAACACGGGAAAGCUUACCAGGCCCAGACGCAGGAAGGAUUGACAGAUUAAGAGCUCUUUCUUGAUUCUGCGGAAGGUGGUGCAUGGCCGUUCUUCGUUGGUGGAGUGAUUUGUCUGGUUAAUUCCGAUAACGAACGAGGUUCCAACCUGCUAAAUAGGCGCUCCGAUCUCCCGGGGUCGGACGCUCUAACUUCUUCUUAGAGGGACAGGCGGCGUCCAGCCGCACGAAACGGAGCAAUAACAGGUCUUGAAUGCCCUCAGAUGCUCUGGGCCGCACGCGCACUACAUUGAAAGAAUCAGCGUGUGCCUUCCCUGUCCGACAGGACUGGGGAACCCGUUGAACCUCUUUCGUGCUGGGGAUAGGGGCUUGAAAUUGUUCCCCUUGAACGAGGAAAUCCUAGUAAGCGGGAGUCAUCAGCUCCCGUUGAUUAUGUCCCUGCGCUUUGUGCACACCGCCCGUCGCUACUACCGAUUGAAUGAUUUAGUGAGGUCUUCGGACUGGCGCCCGGAGCGGGAGGUUACCCAUCUCUCCGCGCCGGUACUAAGUGCCGGAAAGAUGACCGAACUUGACCAUUUAGAGGAAGUAAAAGUCGUAACAAGGUUUCCGUAGGUGAACCUGCGGGAAGGAUC
rnacentral:rRNA from 1 species